UAACAAAGAGACUGAACACUUUGAGAUUUGUGGUAGCCCAGCGCUGAAUAUUGAUAAAGCACAGAUCCUAACAGACUCAAGAGAUUAAAGUCCAUGUGCCAGACAAGCUACUGCUAAUGGGUAUUUGCUUCAGCCAACCCAGGAGCAGCCUGCCUGGACAGGAGGCUGGAGAGGUGCCUGGAUUUGUCGGUAGAACAGAACUGGGGCCAUCUCUUCAAAGGCAGAGAUUCUCACCUUGAUCUGUCCUCCAGAUGAGGUUAAGAUGAUACUAAUAUGUUUCUCAUGGUCCCCACUGGCUUAAUUCCAGGAGAACUGGCACAAACCCCCAAAAUACUUAGGAAGAAAACUGUAGUCUUUCUUUUCAACCCACAAAACUAUUGUGUAAAUAAGAGGGAAAAUCCAGUAAAAUUCCUUUUGUA